rnacentral:lncRNA from 1 species
CUUAGUUCAGUUUAUUCCCCCCCAUCCCUUAUUAAUUGUGUGCAUUGAUCAGUCUGCAAGUGUUUUUUCACAUACAAAAUACUAUAGACAGAUGUCUAUAAUAAGUUAUUUAUUUAAGCCUGAUCUUGAAGGAAUAGUCUCCCUGUCAGAGAGUGAAAGGAUGCCUAUAGCAUAAUAUUUAACAUAACCUGUUGCUAUCACAGUCACCUGCUGCUCUUUAGAACACUGUAAAUCAGACAUUAAAGGGAUCCUAUAGUCCCCAAACAACUUUAGCUUAAUGGAGCUGUUUUUGUGUAUGUCAUAAGUCCCAAGUCUCACUGCUCAAUUCUCUGCAAUCUAGGAGUUAAAUUACUUUUGUCUUUGUUUAUGCAGCCCUAACCACACCUCCCCUGUCUGUGACUCACCCAGCCUGCAGAAAUUUUUUUCAUUUUCAAUCAGAUGUUAAUCUGCUUUAGAAGUUUUUAUCUCCUGCUCUGUAUAUUGAACUUUAAUCACACACAGGAGGCUUCUUCAGGGUCUAUGGAGCUAUUAACAGAGCAGGGGAUAAGAAAUUCUAGAUUGAACAGUGUAAACAUUAGAUCUCACUUUACGGGAAAUUUUUAGGAAGGCUGUGCAACUCCUAUGAUAUGCAUGGAGAUUCGACUAGCGCUGAAUAAACAUGGCAGGAAAUGGAGUAUUGAGGCUGCAGACACAUGAUCUAUAUACCAAAACAGCUUUAUUGAGCUAAAGUUAUCUUAGUGGCCAGUGUUCCUUUAACUCGUAAUAAAAAGAAUGUAUGUGCGUGAUAACAGCAGAGCUCAUUCGCAUCUCUAUAACAUUUAUCCAUAUGAUCAUACAUGCAGUGCAUUACCACAUCAAUAAGUAGCUUCUUAUACACUAUUGUAGGAUUUCAGCUGUACAUUGCUAUGCCUUAUUAUAAAAGAGUAAACUUAUAUGUUUGUGCCUUUAGCUAUCCUACUACUAAUAUCAAAGUGGCGGAAGUGUGCUUAUUGUGACCCAUAGAGGGAAAAAGACAUGGUGUUGGUGAACAAAAAAAAUGUCAGAGGUUGCAAUCUUUUAAACUCUCAAUGGCUAUUUCAGAAGUGGAAAAUAGUGCUCUCUCUUCCUAAGUGUAUUUGGCUUCAUCACCUGUUCAGCGCUUGCUUGGCAUCUGUGGCUCUCGUUACUUGCGUUCAAACCACAUUUACAUGUCCUUAUUAUAAGGUUUACCUGCUGUGCUAUAUUUUCUGAACAUUUUUGACUUGCCUUUUUGAUUCUUCACUUCAUUUAUUUAAUGCUCUGUCCAUUUUAUUGUAAUUAGAAAUGUUGCAUGCUUUUCCUAUAGGGCUUCAUGUACAAUCACAGUUGACUAUAAAAUUAGAACACUGUCCUCCUAUACUGUCUGUGGCAGACAUUUUGUUUUGUUUUAUUUAGAUGAAAUAUUUGUCUUGUUUUUAUGAACUCUGGAUUGGGCUUCAGUGAUGACAUGUUAAGAGUAAGAGUUGAAGGGUUACUCCAACCAUGAUUACCAGUUCAAUGAUAUGAAGUGGUCAUGGUGGUAACAGUCUGGUUGUGCAAUGUUUCUGCUUGAAACGCUUCCAGAUACAAAGAUAUUUGCACUAGUGUGCUGGGGGCUAAUUACAUCCCCAGCACAUGUAAAUCUGGCAGCUGGAACAGCUGUUAUGGACUGUGGAAAAAUUUCAAUUCUGUGCAUAUUUUACAUCUUCAGUGCGCACGGCACGCUGGCAACAGACGUGAUGAGUUUUUCCUUUUUUUUAAACUAGCUCUCUCCAAUAGG